CUGUAAGUUUUAUUUAUCCACAUUAAUCGAUUUCUUCCUCAUAUUCUCUCCCCAAAAAUUUAAACCCUAGCUCCGUAGCUCGCUCCUUUCGAUUUCGCCGCUCACUGGCCACCCGCCGCCCGUUGCUACUCCGCCACUCAUUCCCACUCUACCAUCUCGUCUCUCCGCCGCUUCCCUGUAACAGAAAAGAUUCUCUGGAAUAAUUCAGAGAUUAGAGAAAACUUCAAGUUCUAUUUGAUUAUUUGAUAGACUUCGGAAGACAAACAAUGAUCCUUCAAAGCAUCAAGCAUUUUAUGUAUUCAGGGUAUUGCUUUUGGAUGAAAACUGCAGCUUUUCUUCUAAUAUAGCUUAUGCGAAAUUGCAAGUCAGAUAAGUAGUUUCUGUUUAUGCUGUAGUUUGUAUGUUAUUUGUAUUCUAUUUAGGUUUGUUUGGUCUCAACUUUUGUUUGCUUGUGGAAUAUUGCAGGUAGCCCAAGAAACUGAAACAGAAUCAAACUUUCAAAAUGAUCUUCUGAAUCAGCCGUCCCACUAUGACGAUGGGAAAUGCAGUUGUGUGAAGAAUUUUGUGUGAAGUUACUCUAAGAGAAAUGGAGUUGAGAAAGGGGUGCAGGCUAGUAAUCUGUUUCUGGCAAAGGCGUGGUUCUACAGUUCUCAGCCUAUGACUAGGAGCAGAUCAUCUGAGUUGAGGAGGAGGUAUGUUGCAAUGCAAAACUCACAAACACCAAUAGGAAUUGAGGCCAUGAUGCAGCAAGAACGCGCACAGCAAGCAAAUGGAUUCAACAUGUCAACAAUCUAUGAGAAUCCCAAUCACCAUUUCAAUGAAUCAUCAUCAUUCAUGUCUCCCUCCAAUUCAUCCUCUUCCACUUUCAACAACCCUCAAGGAGGGAAUGUGGACCAGAUCUUGUCUGUCGUGAGCAUGCUCAAGAUCCCGACUCAUCACAUUAAGGACAUUUCGCACCCCCCCUGUAUUUAAUUCAGCUAUUUUUUAUUGUUCAAAUUGUAUUGAUGAAAAAUAGGCUGUCGUAGCUUGAUAUGUAAUUUUUUUUUUUCAAAAAUCAUCACAAAUUACCGAGGGAUUACCGAGGGAAAAAUCCCUCGGCAAAAAUGUCGGCCAAUUUGCAGUAUUUUCCGAGCGAGUUUUGCCUCGGUAAUUACUCGGUAAACUUUACCGACGGAAACUAUCACUCGGUAAAAUUUUACCGACAUUGAAAUUAACGACGUCCGUUUUAUA